UUCAAUGAUUCAGUCUGACCGCGCUUUCGUGGGGAAUCACAUCGAACUAGGGAGAAACACAAUUUUUUUUCUUUGAAGGAAAGAAAAAAAAGAAGGGAAUUGGAUAGGGAGUUCGUAUUGUAACAUACAAACAUAGUUUGCGAAGUGACUGCGGGCGUGUGAAAAUUCAAAGAGACGAUAGCAGUAUUAUGUAUUGUAUGUACGUGGGAGCGUGCGUGUAUCUGUCAAAGAGUGUUCCAUUUUUUUAUACAUAAGUUGUUAAAACUGAAAAAGGUAGUUUCUACGAAGUCGUAUUCAUCGCCGGAUUGCUGGAAAUAAUAAGAAUACUCAGCUAUUAGUUGUCUGUCUCUUUAGCUCCUAUCUGGUGUAGUCAUUUAUAAUACGUGAACUACUAAGUACAAAUAAGUGUUCGAGUGAGUGAGUGAGUGAGUCUACAAAAUUGACAUCUUCUCUUCAAUCCUCUUCUCCAAGCCUCACCCACCUUUUUGUGACGUUAAGUGUACCCAAAAAGAAUUAAGGCUGGAUCCCAAAAAGGUUGUAGUCUACAAGGACGUCGGUGACAUAUUCGAAAAGAUCGAUAUGUUUCGAGAGCGUUACCCGAGUUCUUCGACUGAUGAUCACUCUUCUUCGGAGGAAUAUAGUCGACCUCGUCCUUCUGUCAUUCGGAAAAGACGUGGAAAUCUUCCCAAGGAAUCCAUCAAGAUCCUCAAGAAGUGGCUCUAUGACCAUCGUUACAACGCUUACCCAUCCGAUGCAGAGAAAUCUGCGCUCUCUCGUGAAGCGAAUCUCACGGUCCUUCAGGUUUGCAACUGGUUCAUUAACGCACGCCGUCGUGUUCUUCCGGAUAUAAUUAGGCGGGAAGGGAAUGAUCCCCACCGUUAUACUAUUUCUCGAAGAGGCAAAAAAGUACCAGCCUCUUCUUCUUCUUCCUCCUCCUCCUCUUCCUCAAGCUCCUCUUCGUCUUCUUCCAAUCACCACCAUCAUGGAACUCCUUCCUCCUAUCUUCCUAAUGUGUCUCUCAAGAAUCCAAGGUGGGAAAUGGGCUCUAGGGACCACGAGUACGGGGAAGCAGCAUCUACUAUUACUAUGUAUCGUGCAGAUAUCGACUCUGCGGAUGAUCAAAGAGAAGACGACUCGGAUGAGUCCGAAAUGUCUGGAUCUGAAGAAACUAAUCAUAUUUCAUCAUGGCCGUCAGGUUUGUCGAACAGCUCGGCCUAUGUACCGGCCGCAUCUUCACUGGUCCCUACCUGUCCAUGUGGAUGUGGAAAAGACAACCAUGGGAAGAAUGCCUCUGCUACAUCACCCUCCUCCUCUUCUUCUCCUCAAUACCGUGUUCCAGAAUCCCCGAUCUCGUCACCAACAAAGUCCGUUUCCUACCCUCAGCAACCCGUAAACCAUGUAUACUACCCUCCGAGGUCAGCAGCAGAUGAAGUACGGGAUGAUGCCCCUCUCGAUAUGUCCAAAACAAGCUCUGUACUCUACGGUGGUGUAGGGGGUGUCAAUGGAGCAAUAACCCCUCCUCAAUCUCCACCCGAAGAAUCAGAAUCCAUUAUGGAAGAUGAGAAAGAUAAGUUUCGGUGCUUAUACAUGCUAGUGGACGCGGCUGUGGAUAUGCGAGAAAGAGAGCUACAGGAAAAGGCUGCAGAGUCUCUUUGUAUGGCUUAGGACAGUAUCAAGUCAAGUCAAAGUUAUUGACAUUAACAUUAUUAUAUUAUCCCACAUUGAUGAUAUUAAUAAUUGCGACAUCAAUAAUGAUCCUUUUUAGAAAUAUGUAUCUCAAGGCCGGUGGAGGCCACCCCCAUCUUCAUCAUCUCCUAUGAUUGGUGUAUAUGUGUGUGUGUGAAUCUGGACAUAACGCUUAAGACCUUAUUAUUAUUAUUAAACUACAACCAUUAUAAUUAUAUAAUUAUAUUUAUGUAUUAUUACAUCGUCUACUAUGUUUAUAUUUAUACACAUUUAUAUUAUAAUAUCAUUAUAUCUCGUAUUCUCUCUCUCUAUCUUUUUUUCCCUCUCUAUCUCCAUCUCUCUCAAUCCCCAAUUGAAGAAAAAAAAAGAUGUUUGUCACAUCACCGCUUAAAAUUAUAUAGAUAUAUGUAUAAGUAAAAAAGAUAAAAAAAAUUAAGAAUUAAACAAAAAAAAACAGAAAUAGGACACAACAAAAUAUGAAAACAAGCUUGCUUCUAAUAUAUUUAUACAUAUUUUCAUCAUCGAUAUUGAAUUGUUUCGAUUUUUACUACAUCCCAACCCCCUCUCCUACUCUUCACCCCUACUCCCCCUUUUCGCUCGUUUUAGAGCGUUUAAAUUCUAUAUAUAUAUAAUAAAUACCUAACGUUGGCUCAAGAAUGUCUUUUUUUUUUUUUUCUGAAGAAAAAUAAAGUCUAUAUAUUAUAUAUAAUUUAUAAAAAAAUAAUACGAAAAGCAGCAUUUCUCUUUCCUAUAUAUUCCUUUAAAAAAAACAAAAAAAUGAAUGCUAAUUUUUUAUAUAUAUACUUUUUUGAGUGAAAGGAGAGGUGUGUGAUGAUUGUUUUCAGAUUUAUAUUAAUUAUUAUCUAUGUUACUACUUGUGUAUAUAAAUUUGUACAUAUACUAGAUAUAGAAAGCUCUUUAUAUAUAUAUAUAUAUCUAUGCUUAGUACCACUACGACUUGAACGUAUUUAUGUUUUAACAUGCUAAUUACGUUUCUGUGUGAAGAUUUACCGCUUUAACCUCGCAAAAAAAUAUAUGCUGGUUUUUUGUUCAUGGACUUUUUUAUUAUGAUGAGAAUAAUUACUACUGUUGUAAUUAAUAAUUAUAUUAUUAUACUAUUGGUAUUUGAGUCGCGUGCGUUGGUCAAUACUUAAUCUACUAUUUACGAUGAGAAAUACUUUAAUAAUAGCAAAACAAGAAGCAGAUAUAUUCAAAAAAUUAUAUAUAUAUAUAUAUUUAGCCGUAAUUUCUCAAUUCUUAUACCUAAUACUAAAUAUUAUAAUGUACUUUAUGUCUACGUGUGUUUUUUAUAUUGAUAACUUUAGUUGUUAGUAGAAUUAUAUUUGAAUUGCAAGGGUAAAGGCAGUCGUGAUGAUGUCUCAUUGGUAAUAUUCAUCACUAAGCUAUUUAUAUAUAUACAUAAAUGAUUCGGUUUCCCAUUUUUUUUUCUUUAUAGACCCGGAACGCUCAAACUCGCUUAAUUACUAUUCUCUUCUUUUUUUCAUUAUAUUUUUUCAUUAUCUCUCUACUACUAUCACCACCCCUUACUUGGACUGGCCAUGCUAUUUUCAGCGCUAUAUAUACUACCACAUCUGAUUUUAUGUUUAUUUUUUUAUAUAUACAUCCUAUUUGAAGAAAAAAAUAAUAAUGUUUUACUACGGAUUUAAAAAAAGAAAAUAUCCUUUAAAAAGUUGUCAAGAUGAAGUCGAAUUUUUUUAGUCAAGAGUUGUAAUAAUAAUAACUAUUUUUCUGUCUUGCGAACUAAAUAUUAUUUAAGAUAAUAUCAUGUUUACUCGAUGGAAGUUGGUAUCUGUUAAUCUAGGAUUUAGGGAUCCUUCUAAUUAUAAAUAAAAACGAAUAAUUGUAUCGUGCCAUAGUAAGAUAGUAAAUGAUCAAAUUAUUAAAAAAAAAAAAAAAUUCCCCUCACUAACAUAUUCGACUAAUAAAAAUUAAUAUGUUUUGUGAUACAACCCCUUAUUUGAUGGGAUUUAUUGUCUCACACAAAAGCACAGUAUUUUUUAAUCUGCUCUCAAAAAUGGUUUGUUUGUUUUUUUGUAUUUUUUGACAUUUAUACCAACUAACAAUUUCCAAUGGCUUCUUCCAUUUAUUUUGCUCUACUACUAUUUUAAAAGGCAUUAUUUUAUUUAAUACACAGAAAGGAAAAUAAAUGAUCUACAAGUUG
rnacentral:misc_RNA from 1 species